rnacentral:rRNA from 1 species
UUUGCGCAUGGGCGAANGCCUGNCGCAGCGACGCCGCGUGCGGGAAGAAGGCCUUCGGGUUGUAAACCGCUUUCAGGAGGGACGAAGCCACUCGGGUUAAUAGCCUAGAGGGUGACGGUACCUCCAGAAGAAGCCCCGGCUAACUACGUGCCAGCAGCCGCGGUAAUACGUAGGGGGCUAGCGUUGUCCGGAUUUAUUGGGCGUAAAGAGCGUGUAGGCGGCCAGGUAGGUCCGGUGUGAAAACUCGAGGCUUAACCUCGAGAUGUCAUCGGAAACCAUCUGGCUAGAGUCCGGAAGAGGAGAGUGGAAUUCCUGGUGUAGCGGUGAAAUGCGCAGAUAUCAGGAAGAACACCAAUGGCGAAGGCAGCUCUCUGGGACGGUACUGACGCUGAGACGCGAAAGCGUGGGGAGCGAACAGGAUUAGAUACCCUGGUAGUCCACGCCGUAAACGAUGGGCGCUAGGUGUGGGCGGUGUCGACUCCGUCCGUGCCGAAGCUAACGCAUUAAGCGCCCCGCCUGGGGAGUACGGCCGCAGGGCUAAAACUCAAAAGAAUUGACGGA